UUUUUGAAGCUUACUGGAAAA
ensembl:piRNA 21ur-8186 ncRNA